rnacentral:lncRNA from 1 species
AUUUUUUUUUUCCUUUUUCAGAAGAACUAUAUGAUGUUUAAUGCUUCCCUACAGCCAUUGCAACUAUUGCGUCUUUAAAUCAGCUUCAUAUUACAAUAUUGAUGCUGAAAUUCUUUGUAGAACAAAGACGAUAUGUCUUUUUUCAUUACUAUCUCAAGAUAUUGCUCAGAUUUUCAAAAUACAAUUGGAAGCAUUGAACUGAACUGCUGAUCUUCUCUUAAAAACUAUCUAGAUCAACUGACUAUCCAUUCAUU